GAGGGUAUAGCUCAGUGGCAGAGCGCAUGCUUAGCACGCACGAGGUCCUGGGUUCAAUCCCCUGUACCCCUG
rnacentral:tRNA from 1 species